rnacentral:ncRNA from 1 species
CGCGUUAUAAUCCCGUCAAGCGCGCACAUGCGAGAGCUUGCUCGCGGCAUGUAGCGCAUUUGACGGGAUGACGCGACAUGAACACGAAGGCCGAUAGGUCGGAGUGUGAAUGCCGCGCAGAAAUGCGGGAGCACGAAGUGCGAAGCAAUUCUGUGUUAACGCG